UACAGAGGUGGCAAGCGUUGUUCGGAAUUACUGGGCGUAAAGGGUGCGUAGGCGGCGCGGUAAGUCGGGUGUGAAAUCUCGGAGCUUAACUCCGAAACUGCAUUCGAUACUGCCGUGCUUGAGGACUGGAGAGGAGACUGGAAUUUACGGUGUAGCGGUGAAAUGCGUAGAUAUCGUAAGGAACACCAGUGGCGAAGGCGGCUCACUGGACCGGAACUGACGCUGAGGCGCGAAAGCGUGGGGAGCAAACAGG
rnacentral:rRNA from 1 species